rnacentral:rRNA from 1 species
CAGCCGUAAACUAUGCGCGUUAGGUGUAUCGGUGACCACGAGUUACCGAGGUGCCGAAGGGAAACCGUGAAACGUGCCGCCUGGGAAGUACGGUCGCAAGGCUGAAACUUAAAGGAAUUGGCGGGGAGCACCACAACAGGUGGAGCCUGCGGUUUAAUUGGACUCAACGCCGGGAAGCUCACCGGAUAAGACAGCGGAAUGAUUGCCGGGCUGAAGACUCUGCAUGACUAGCUGAGAGGAGGUGCAUGGCGUAGACGUCU